rnacentral:lncRNA from 1 species
UAAUACUUUUAUAUUCAUGCCAAAAGUAAAAAUGACAGAUGAAAACCAGUGCAGCUUUGGAGCAGACCCAGCUAUCCUGUGUCAUCAUAUUCUGAGCAGGUGACAUUUGCAUAUGUGUUAAUGACUUUACCGCUCAUUUUAGGGUCUAUCCACCUGCGGGAGCAGAGGUGAGAGCUGUUUAUUUCUCAGUCUCCUUGGGAGCGAGACCCCGGGAGGGCCAGGCCGUGGCGUGAUGACAGGAUCCUCGGAUCUUCUUGUUCAGCUGUUUCUCUGUUCCACCCUCCCCCCCAGGGGCUGGUGGAGUGACGGGCGGACCCUGCUGGUGUCCAUUUCCACACCUGCCCCUGCCAGAGUGGGCCUGUUUCCUUCGGAAGCGCUGGAGGGUUUUCCUUCCACAUUCCAUCGGAGCAGCCUGGGCCCUCUGACCAGGACCAGCUCCUUACUGGGGGGGGGGGGGGAUCUUUUGUUCACCACUUUUGCAGACUUUCAAGCCAGUGUCAGCAGAACACCACACUGGGGCUUAACCCCCCUCCCCCAAAAAAGGUUGGCCACAGGUCCCUCGUCCAUCCGAGAAGCCAUCUGGCCUCUGAAGAUAACGCCUCCCAGAUUCCCUGGCUCAGGUCUCCAGUCACUUCUCCGCCUCUCUGUGAACUGCUGCUCAGGGAUCCUCAGAACCUCACGGAAGAAAUAUCAGCUAACCUUCUCCCCCUGAACUCGGUGUCAGCCACAGGGUCCCCCGGGGGAAUAAGGAACGCCUUGAAGACGGCUCUCCUUGAACGCCUUGUCACAUCUAGAGCGCCACCACCAUGAACACCCUCAGCUUCGUCCGCAGGGAGAGGGAAGUGAAGCAGGCACAGGUGAACAGCUGAGGAUUUCAUUUCCUGAGAUUUUCGGGUCAUGAAUAUUCAGACCCUCCUCCCCGCCUCCCCAGCCUGAACUUGCUCUAGACCGACCGUGUGUGUGCUGUGAUGCCCCCACGCACAGGUGCUCUGGCUGGGAGGCGUGUCCCCUGACUAUAGCUGGGACAUUACCUUCCCUGAUGGGUGGCCAUUUAUUUCAGUCAGUAAAGGAAUAUUUUCUAAAAAAAAAUUUUAAUGUUUAUUUAUUUUUGGGAGAAAGAGACAGAGAGUGAGCAGGAGAAGUACAGAGAGAGAGGGAGACACAGAAUCCGAAGCAGGCUCCAGGCUCUGAGCUGUCACAGGGCUUGAACCCAUGAACCGAGAGAUCAUGACCUGAGCCAAAGUCAGACACUCAACCGACCGCACCACCCCAGUCCCCCUAGUAAAGGAACAUUUUCUUAAAAAAAAUUUAAUGUUUAUUUAUUUUUGGGAGAGAGAGACAGAGAGUGAACAGGAGAAAUACAGAGAGAGAGGGAGACACAGAAUCUGAAGCAGGCUCCAGGCUCCAAGCUGUCACCAGGCUUGAACCCAUGAACCAAGAGAUCAUGACCUAAGCCAAAGUCAGACACUCAAAUGACUGAGCCACCCCGGUCCCCCUAGUAAAGGAACAUUUUCUUAAAAAAAAUUUAAUGUUUAUUUAUUUUUGGGAGAGAGAGACAGAGAGUGAGCAGGAGAAGUACAGAGAGAGAGGGAGACACAGAAUCCGAAGCAGGCUCCAGGCUCCAAGCUGUCACCAGGCUUGAACCCAUGAACCAAGAGAUCAUGACCUAAGCCAAAGUCAGACACUCAAAUGACUGAGCCACCCCGGUCCCCCUAGUAAAGGAACAUUUUCUUAAGUGACCUGGUGAAGAGUGCACUUGAGGGGCUCAGAUAUUGACUAAGCAGACAGGGACCCCUAAGGGUAAGGUGUUUCCUUCCUAACACAUUGGCUCCUGUGGGAGUGAGUGUCUCAGCCGGUGAGUCAAAGAAACCAGGCAAAGUGAUUCAGACUUUGUAUCAAAGAGGAGAUGAUUGUGAGAGUCUGAUCUUUCAGUGGCGGUUGAAAGUUAACCCACAGGCUCAAGGCUCUGGGCUCAAGGCGGUGACUCUUACGUGGAGAAGGAAGCUGGUGCCCAGGGGUUUCCUGCUGGGGACUGGAGGAGCCUGGAAAUCUUUUUACUUUGAUUUUUAUCGUGUUAGGAACACUUAACCAUGAGAGCUGCCCUCUUAGCAGACUGUUGAGUGCACACAGCACCUCGCUGACCGCGGUCAGCGUGCCGGACAGCGGACCCCGGGGCUCAUUCAUUCUGCGCGACCUCUGUGCCCCCUCCCCCAGGCCAUGGAAACCCGACAUUCCUUUCUUUGCUUUGGUGAGUUUGACUAUUUUAGAUCCCUCGUAUCGCAAGAGCCAGUUUGCGGAAACAAUCCAAAUGUCCACCGACAGGUGAAGGAAUGGAAAAGAAAAGCGGUCUGUCCACACAAGGGGAUACUAUUCAUCGCGAGGACACGAUGGCAAAUGAAAAAAGCCAGACACAGAAGGACAGGUGUCGCGUGAUUCCACUUGGGUGGAGGAAUCUGCAUCUAUGGUCUCCGACUGAGAAACGAUAGAAAAUCUGUGUUUUGGGCUCUAUGGCCCAUUUCCGGCAGCUCCCCCAGUGAUGAGAGAGCUGGGAACCCCUCCUUUCUCAUAUUUGUACUGGACCCAAAGUGCCUCGCUCCCUUGGGGUUUCCUGGGUGACAAGAGCAUCUUUUGUUCUAAUGAGGUGACUCCGGGGGGGCUCCCAGAUGGGGGUGGCCACCAGAAAGCCAGGCCUUGAUUCUUAGAAGCUUGGAAGUGUCAUCCCAGCCCCCACACUCCAGAGAGUCACUCGUGGCUCAUGCCCACCGACGAGGCCUCCGGAAAAAUCCCUGACGUGUAGGGUGCAGGAAGUUCCUGGUGGGCAGACACGUCCACGUGGCAGGAGGCUGACGCUCUCCACCCCCACGGGGACAGACCCUCCCAGACCUCGUCCUGUGUAUCUCUUUGUCCGGCUGUUCAUCUGUAUCCUUUAAACCCUUUUGUAACAAACUGGUGAAAACAAGCAUUCCCCUGAGUUCUGUGAGCUGUUCUAGCAAAUUGUCAAACCUGAGGACGGGGUCGGGGGAACCCCAGGUCUCUAACUGGCCAGCCAGGGGUGCAGCACAGGUGACUACCGGGGCCUUGCAGCUGGCGUGUGGGGAGGGGACGGUCUCGCGGGCCUGAGCCCCUAGCUCGUGCCGUCCAGCACCACCUCCAGGUAGAACCAGAGCUGAGCUGAAUCGCAGGACGGCUCAGCCGGUGUCGCAGAAUCGCUUGGUGUGGAAACCCCCCGGGUCUGGGGUUGGAAGUCGCCAGUGAGCGGGGAGCAGACGCAAAACAAGGAGCAACUGCUGGCACUGCCCACGGCCGUGUCCUCCCGUGUGGGCCUCAUCGCCCCGCUGGUGUGGGAAGGAAGUCAGCGUAGAGAGAAGGGAGGGGCCGCAGGAGGUCAAACCAUCCAGGACGCCUUUGGACACUCCUGUGAGUUUUCCCCUGCCUGUCCCCCAUCCCUGUCGGAACUGAGCGAUGUCCUUCCUGCCCGCCUGCUGGGGUGAGUGGGGACUGGGGCCUCCCCGCCAGGGCACCGCAAGAGGUUGUUUUGCCUCUUGCUUCAUUCCUGUGACACCUUUCGGGGCUGAUGACAACCGUCUUGUGGGGGGGGGGCACGGGGUGACAGGCGGGCGGCAGCAUUAUCACCCCUUGCAGGAGGUGCCACAGAGAACUCACCUUCCAGGUGGGGAGCAGCCUGGAAGCUGACACCAGGGCCAUGCCCUCUUGUCUGCAACGUGGCUGGUGUAAAAGGCACAGGUAAACAGCCGCGUCAGGACAUUUUCCCCCAGACAAAAAAGACAAGAAGAGAAAAGAGGAAGAAAACCAACGUUCAGCAAACUCUCUGCUUCCAGGUCUUAAUGCUGAUCCCGACACAGCCAGCGAGGGGUGUCGAAUUGAUUUGGGGAGAAUUAUCAAUGGGGCCGCAGAGUCUGGACUCCCAGUGAUAAGAACGCCCUUUCUUCUAGAAAACCCGUGGCCGUUCGCACGCAUCAGCUUGUCAGAGCCUCCGCAGGCAGGAAGUCAGACUAUGAGUUUUCACCCCACGUUACAAGGGAGCAGCCCAGGGGACCUCGGCUGGCUCCUCUAAGACCACCACUGGGACCAUCCCUCUGGGACCAAAGGUCGGGGCUCUGAUACCCGCUGUGUGCAGAGAACAUUCUCGUGAGCGGCAGAAACCCCCUCCCGUCAGCUCAGGCCAGUCCGGAGGUUCGCUGGGGCAGGUCUUCAGGGAAGCAAGUGCGAGAACCCCCGCCCCCCUCUCCUGCCUCGCUGCCCUCUCCCCUGCCGCACUCCCGACUUUCUCCAGCCACCCCAGAGCUGCCUCCUCCUGUGGGUACCCCCGUCAGUGUAUGAAUAAUUUCCUUCUCCCCCGACUUCCUCGCUGGAACGAGGGUGUGAAAUUGCGUGGCAACCCUCCCUGUGCAUCAGACACGCUGCUCAGUACCCAGCACCUGCUAUCUCACUUCUCCCUCUGGAGAAGGCAUUAUGGAAGAUGGCUCCAGGGCCCAGAGAGGUGCAGGACUGCCCGGCGUCACACAGCACACGGGAGGCGGCUUGGCACGUCUCUGCCUUCCUUCCAGGCUGGCUGCACCUCCCGGGGCCCAGGACGUGUUUAAUUACCGAGAAGGAAGCCUGGGCAGCUGCCCACCUGCCUGUGCUCUGGGCCUGGUGAGUCAGCUCCGGACAGGACACCAGUCUGGACUGAGUUCAGAGUUGCAAGGAAAAUAAAUGCCCUGGAACUGGCUCCCGUGGGAAGGAU